UACGAAGGGUGCAAGCGUUAAUCGGAAUUACUGGGCGUAAAGGGUGCGUAGGCGGUUCGUUAAGUCUGUCGUGAAAUCCCCGGGCUCAACCUGGGAGUGGCGAUGGAUACUGGCGAGCUAGAGUGUGUCAGAGGAUGGUGGAAUUCCCGGUGUAGCGGUGAAAUGCGUAGAGAUCGGGAGGAACAUCAGUGGCGAAGGCGGCCAUCUGGGACAACACUGACGCUGAAGCACGAAAGCGUGGGGAGCAAACAGG
rnacentral:rRNA from 1 species